GUCCUGGGCAGGGCUCCCGUUGAGGUGCAGCUGCACCUUUCUCAGAGGGACAGUGUCCUCUGCGCCCUUUUUGGCCUCGUUCCCCUCCUCAUCCCCAACGGGUUGGGGGCUCUUCCAUGCCUGCUCCUCCAGCUUCGCCUUCCACUCCAGAGGAGCAGCAGUGAUUUGAAGAAUCUACAUUAGUCUGCUUAUCUCCUGUGAGAAUAAAAACACAGCUCAGUGUGUGACAAAGCUCAUGCCGAGAGAAGUCCUUUAGCUGGAUGAAGAAGUGCCAUCAAGGACCAUGGAUAACACUUCUGGCAUGUGCAGAAUGGCUGUGGGAUGGUGAAGAAGAUGCCUUCCUGUCCUGUCCUGUGACCUCCAGCCAGCCUCCUCCCAGCAGAAGAUGCCAGCAGCCCAAAGACCAUCCUGAUCCUGAAGCCAGCAAAUGGCCAAGCUGGGCAUCACGAGCAUGAGCACAGCUCCAGGUCUGCUGAAUCCCCUACACUUGCAGGGAUAGCAGUGUUACCUGUGUCCCUUCUCAUGCAUGGGCCCACCCCUAACCUAAUGCAUGACAGAAGCUCAGGGAGUUGAGCAGCUUUCUGUCCCUGGGCUGACUGAGGGUUGAGAGAUGUGAUCUCAGAGCUACAUCAUGCUGUGUCUGGGAUACUGACUUAAUAGGGUUCUGAGUGCACUGGAUGUUCCCAUGCACUUAUGGCUGUGAACAAUGCCCAUAAACCCUCUCAGGUAGCUCAUAUGCUCAGGACAGCAGCCCAUCUUGCUCCUUCAGCCCUUAGGGUGCAGUCGUGGCAUUGGCAAAUACAUGGGGGCAAGAGGGAAGGACUGGGCUUCUCCAGUCAUGUGUGGCGUGAAGCAGGGUGAGGAUUCACCCCGGCACCUCCUUCUGCCCAAACAGCCCCCAGAACUUGGCCCAGGUGCAACAGAGGAGAGAGAGCAGUGGGGGACUGCAGCCAAUCCUGACAAGUGGACGAAAAUAAGACGAGGGGACCACUGAUCCCUCUGGCGUUUCUCUCCAGCCUUGUUGGUCGUGUCAGAACCUGCUUCAAGAAAUGCAUCUGUUCCUUCAUACCCAUCCACCUCCGUGCCCAUUCCCUGCACAAGUCACAGCCGGCUGCUUAUGAGGCAGCAGGAUGGAGGCUGCCUCUGUUGGGUCCUGGCAGCCCCAUCUCCUGAGCAGCCCAGUUCCCCUCCAUCAGCAGAUUUCCAGCGGUUGGGUGGAAACCCAGCAUGAAAACGGCCCAGGCUUUGCCAGAUGUUUGGCAUUCCUGCAGACCAGUCCUCUGGUGAUGAGUGGGAGCUGUCUGCAGACCAGGAAGGCUUCAUAGAAAGCGGAUGGAGGGCAGCGCUGCCUCUCAGCCCACCGCAUAAAGCAAGGUAAUGAUUGUUAUGAGAAGGAAAGGGGUUAGGCUGCAGAAGGAAAAGCAACUUUGCAUCCCCUUGGUGAAAAUACUCCAUCCACAACAGCCAUCUUCUAGCGAGCGCUGGGCAAGCGUCGCUCCUCCAGGCACUGCCCCAGGGUCCCAGCAGGACCUGGGACCUCACCCUGGCUCCCCAGGGGGCCCGCAGAGGACCGGUGGGUGGCUUGGCAGAGCCCCUUCCUUCCCUCGUUUUCCCCACUGCCCCCCUACCCUGCUGGGUUUCACCCAUGGGAAGAGCAGGGCAGGGACCUCUGUGCCAGCUCAGCCAGGACUCCUUGGGAACGAGCUGGAUCAGGCUGAGAAAUGCUCCCUUCCCAGGGGAAGGAUACUCCACACGGAGUUAUUUUUCCCUCAGUGCAGCAGCAGGAGUGUACGUUCCUGGUGAGAAACAACAAACCUUUCUCCUGCCUUCAUUCUGCCCAGCACUGAGCUUCCCCUGCAGAAGCAAGCUGCAGAGCAGCCCCCGUUCCAGCUCCAAAUUAAAGCGAUCGGAGGCAGGAUCAGCCCCCCACGACCCCCUAAUCCCCACUACACGCCGCCUGUCCCAUCCAAUUACCGCCUCAGCAGCAACGAGCACUGCUCUCAGACCUGCUCCUCCCCAGCAUUUCCAGUGCUGAUCCCCACAUUACUGCUCAGUAUCUCAUUUAAGGCAAGUUGCUCACAAACAGACCCCUGCUCCCUCCCCUCCGAAAGGCUGAAUUACUCUCAGGCUGAUUUUUAUGUGUUAUACACACACAGAUAUAUCUUUUUCCUGCGGUGUUUCUGCUACAUUUUUCAGACCUGAAUGGCUGCGGGGCUGUUGUGAGCUCCUUCCCUUUCUGUUUUAUUUGUGCACCAUUCAGAUCCCCUGGAAUGGGCAGAGGGGACGCGGAGGGGACACGGCAUGCAAAUAACAGCCGUGGAACCAAAAUGAUGGCUGGGGGAGGGAAACCCACUGCUCGUUCCCACUGAGAAGUGGGGAAUCCAUCGGAUUUGGGCAGACAAAGCCAGACACAGCCCCUCGCUGCCAACACGGCGCUUGGUUUCCAUUCAUUUUCCCCCUCUUUCCACCGAGGUUCCCAAUGUGGGAAAGCUCCGAGGGGCAAAGCAGCGGUGAAUAAUGCAGGGAGCGCGGUGGGGGAAUAGGGAGGGGUCCUCCAUCUCUGCGCUGGGGCUGGGAGCAGGGUGCUUUUGUGCCGGCGCUGGUAGGGGUGCAGGCUGAUCCUUCCUUUUAGCAAUUAGCCCCGAGCUGUUACAGAGGGCUCUGUAGAAGUUCUGGGUGAUUUUUUUGGGGGUUGUUUUCUUUUUUUUUUUUUCUUUUUUUUUUUUUUUCCCCUCAGUCUGAUCUGCGAGGCUCAGCCCCGAGCAGGUGGAAACCCACCCUGCUCAGCGCCGUGCCUGCCUCAGAACCCGCAGGUAGUGCCGCCCUGCGAGGCCAGCGGGCUCCAUCCCAUCAUGUCGGCGCUGCACAAACCCCUGCGGGGCUCUUGCAGAUCUCCAGGAGGGGACAGAGGGAGCAACAGGUGAUCGUCCUGAGCAGGGGACGGACUCUUCUCUGUUACACCACAGCCGGUAGAGAAAAAUCCCCCCCCCGGCUCCCUGGGAGUUGGUGGCUGCCCCUCACCUCUCCCCAGCUGCGAGCAACAUCCCCGUUGCAAAGAGGGGUGCAAGCCCUGCGGUGAUUUCCACCCAUCCCAACCAUCGGGGUGCCACCGCUCUGGAUGUUUCCAAGGGAUUUUGGCCAAGCUGGAAUGAGAGGAACGAGUCCUCAGCCCCACAACAGGGGAGCGGGCAUGGACAUCACCAUGCUGGGGCCCCCAUCGCCCCCACCCCAAUACUAUAUCCCUGAGGAGCUGCUCCUUGCCGAGCCCCAUUUCCACAAGGCUCCCACACCAGGUAUCCCCUCCCGACCCCAACUCACCGG